AAGCCUUGUAAGAAAGCAGACGUUCCGCAACCACGCAGUUACCUGGCUCUAGUGUACAAGACCAGCGAGAGAAGAAUCCUGUCAACCACCGGCCAUUCCACCGACUUUGUCACUGCGAGGACCCUUCCUUCCAACAAACCGCAGGAACACUGAAUCAAACGCUAUUUUGUCAGCUUAUUUCACAAACCUACUGCAAUUACUGAGGGUUCCUUUACUAGAUCACCCGUGAGGAACACGUGUCGGUCCUGAAUGGCUGCAAUAUCAAAAGGUCUGAGAAUAGCGAGCUUCAUCAUGCACGCCACAGGUAAUUCAGGAAGAAUUUCACAGACGUCUAUAGAAAGCUCUGAAAGCUGUGCCUGUUACUCAACUGCAAGGAAAACAUCAAAUAGUACUGACAAAAGCGCUAAGUAAACGCAGACGUAGAAGACGUAAAAAUAAAUCUUCCAAAACACCUUACAGGACCACCAGGCAAGACUAAGACAGAGAUCGCUACUGUCGCUGAUAUCAAGAUAGUAAUCUCGGUGGAAACAGACAAUAGAGCAGAGAUUAUCAGAGCUGAUGACCUUUUAAUGCCUGCAGUGAUUUAACAGUGCC